rnacentral:rRNA from 1 species
UACGAAGGGGACUAGCGUUGUUCGGAAUCACUGGGCGUAAAGCGCACGUAGGCGGAUGUGUCAGUCAGGGGUGAAAUCCCGGGGCUCAACCUCGGAACUGCCUUUGAUACAGCACGUCUCGAGUCCGGAAGAGGUGGGUGGAAUUCCUAGUGUAGAGGUGAAAUUCGUAGAUAUUAGGAAGAACACGGUGGCGAAGGCGGCCCACUGGUCCGGUACUGACGCUGAGGUGCGAAAGCGU